GUCACCCGCGGUGGGGAAACAACCCCGGGAGAUGCGGCUCUGACACGUGAGGAAGUUCUGGGCGCCUUCCAGAUGGUGGGCUGCUCCCACCACGCCCAGGUUUGUUCAGCUCCCCCGCAGCCUCGUCCUUCCGCCCGGGGCCUUGGCCUUGGCCGUGGGACCUGCUCUGGCCAGUGGGAGAGCAAUAAGCAUGGCCGCCAUGUGUGCUGUUUCCAGGCAUCCCCACCUGCUGUGAAUUAAGCAAAUGAGACUGAGACCUACUCCGGAGAAAUCGGGGCCCAGGAUGAUGCCCAACCCACUGAGCCACCCCAGAGAGGGCCCACCAUUUUCCAAAAGCCCCACGGACUUCUCUCUGUGGCUUCCCCGGCAGUUUUCGGGCCAGUCCUAGGUGCUGGAUGGACCCGGGCUGUGAUGUCACCUCGGCAAGAGGCGCGCCCAGGCCUCCCGCCGUGGGAACCUGUCCUUUUGCCAGCGGGGCUGUCUGUGGUUCCUGUCGAAGCGGAGGUGAGGAAGCAGGCUGCGAGCUGGUCGAGCCUCUGGGCCUUGAACCCGGCACGCAGGAGCACAGGGCGGCUCUGGCUCGGCCAUGUUCUGAGCCGUGUGUGGGAACCAACCAUGUUCUUACCGGAUUUUAAAAGAGGAAGACAAUAUCAAGACUGCCGAUUAGGUGUAUGGCUUGAGGAAGAUCAGUUCCUCUUACUCUAAAUCACUGCUGUCUCACAUUUGGUCCGAGGACGGAGAGCCGGUUCCCGCCGAGGCCACAGCUGGGCCCUGGCGGAGCUGUCUGGGUCCCAGGGGCACAGGGGCCGGCUCCCGAUCGGACUUGUGAACCCUCAGGGAGGGACACGGGCAGGACGUCCCAGCCUGCCCCGUCUGGCCACGCCAGGAGCGGACGUGGAGCCUGG